rnacentral:lncRNA from 1 species
CUCAGUGGUAAAAUCUUCCUGGGUUUAAUUGUCAGUAUUGAAAUAACUAAAAACAAACCACAUGCUAGAGACAUGUUAAAAUAAGCUAUAGAUUUCAAAUGGAAUCUAUCUCAGGUAUACAAGCCCAGUUCAACACUAAAAAAUCAAUUAGUGUAAUCAAUAGAAUAAAAAAGAAAAAUCACAUGAUCAUAUCAAUAGACAUGAAAAAUUUGACUAAACCAAACAACUAUUUGUGAUAAAAACUCACAGUAAACUGAAUACUUGGGAACUUUCUCACCUUGACAGAGAGUAUCUACAAAACUCCUACACACAGUAUCAUACUUAAUGUGAGAAUUCAGAGCUUUUUCUAAAAGAUCAGAAACAAGGUCCUGGAAUAACCUAUACCAAGCUCUGAAAGAAAAUGGAUGCCAACCAAGAAUCCUAUACACAGAAAAAUUAAGCUUCAGAUUUGAAGAUGAAAUAAAAACCUUCCAUGAUAAACAAAAGUUAAAAUAAUUUGCAACUAGAAAGCCGGCACUACAGAAUAUUCUCAACAAAAUAUUCCAUGAAGAUGAAAUGGGGAAAAAAAAAAAAAAGCAAAAGCUAGGAAAGGAAGGAACUACACUAAAGGAAUAGUCAAUCAGAGGAGAAACUAAUUCAAAUUAAAAACUAGAAAUAAAUCAAAAUGACCAGGAAUACAAAUCCUGUCCCAAUAACCUUUAACAGUAAUGAUCUAAACUCAUUAAUCAAAAGACAUAAACUGGUAGAAUGCAUUUAAAAACAUGAUCCAACAAUAUCCUAUCUCCAAGAGACUCACUAAUAGGCAAAAAACAUCCACAGACUGAAGGUGAAAGGAUGAGAAGAAAUACAUCACUAACAUGGACCAUGUAAACAAGCAGAUAAAGUGGACUUCAAGCCAGAGUUAAUCAGAAGAGACAAAGAAGGUAAUUUCAUACUGCUUAAGGGACGUAUACAUCAACAAGACAUAACAAUCAGAAAUAUAUAUGCCCCAACAAUGGAAUAUCUGUGUUACAUCAAAGGAACCCUUCUCAAUUUCAAGAAUCAAAGAGCCCACAACACAAUAAUAUUGGGUGAUUUUAACAUUCCUUGUUCCUCCAAACAAAACUAAACAAAAAAAAAACUAUAGAACUAAAUAAUACAAUCACUAAUUUAGACUUAACAUACAUAUAUAGAAUAUUUUAUCCAUCAAUGAGUGAAUACACUUUCUUCUUAGCAGCACAUGAAUCCUUCUCUAAAAUAGACCGUAUCUAUGUCACAAAUCAGCACCUAGCAAAUACAAAAAAAAAAAAAAAAAUAGAGAUAAUACCUUGCGUUCUAUCAGAUCAAAAUGGAAUAAAAUUAGAAAUCAAUGAUAAAUAAAAAAAUAGAAGCUACUCAAACACCUGGAGACUAAAUAAUAUUCUAUUCAAUGAUGAAUAGAGAGCAGAAGAAAGCAAGGAUGAAAUUUAAAAAAAAAUACUUAGAGGUAAAUGAGAAUAGUGGUACAACAUAUCAAAAUCUCUGGAUACUGAAGACAGUGAUAAAAAGAAAUUUAAUUGUAUUGAGCUCAUUCAUUAAAAAAAAUACAGUCAGUGAAUAAAUGACCUAAUAUUACAUCACAAAGCCCUAGAAAAAGAACAAAUUAACCCUGAAAGCAGAAGACAGAACAUAAUUAAAAUCAGAUGAAAUUGAAACAAAAGAAACCAUUAAAAAAAACUGACAAGACAAAAAGUUGGUUCUUUGAAAAAAAAUAAAUAUGGUUGAUAAACCCUUAGCCAGGCUAACGAAGAAAAAGAAAAAACUCAAAUUACUAAAAUUCAUGAUGAAAAAGGAAAUACCAUGACAGACACUACUGAAAUACAGAUGAUAAUCAGAAACUAUUUUGAAAAUUUAUACUUCAAUAAAAUAGGAAAUCUUGAAGACAUCACCACAUUUCUAAAGGCAUAUGACCUACCCAGAUUGAAUCAGGAGAACAUGGAAAUUUUUUAAAAGAUCAGUUUCAAGCAAUGAAAUUGAAGAUGUUAUCAAAAGCCUACCAACAAAGAAAAGCCCAGGAUUGGAUGGAUUCUCAGCCGAGGUCUACCAGAACUUAAAAGAUGAACACCAAUAUUCCUCAAUUUAGAAAAGGAGGGAACCCUUCUAAACUCAUUCCAUGAAGCUAGUAUCACCCUGAUACCAAAACCAAAGGCACAUCAAGGAAAGAAAACUUAAGACCAAUAUCCCUGUUGAACAUAGAUGCAAAAAUUCUCAAUAAAAUUGUGGAAAAUUUCAUAUAAAAACAUAUUUAAAAUGUAGUGCACCACAAUCAAAUGGGGUUCAUUCCAGGAUGCAAGGUUGGUUC